rnacentral:rRNA from 1 species
AUUCCCCUAGGUAACUGCGAGUGAAGCGGGAAAAGCUCAAAUUUAAAAUCUGGCGGUCUUUGGCUGUCCGAGUUGUAAUCUAGAGAAGUGUUAUCCGCGCUGGACCGUGUACAAGUCUCCUGGAAUGGAGCGUCAUAGAGGGUGAGAAUCCCGUCUUUGACACGGACUGCCAGGGCUUUGUGAUGCGCUCUCAAAGAGUCGAGUUGUUUGGGAAUGCAGCUCAAAAUGGGUGGUAAAUUCCAUCUAAAGCUAAAUAUUGGCGAGAGACCGAUAGCGAACAAGUACCGUGAGGGAAAGAUGAAAAGAACUUUGGAAAGAGAGUUAAACAGUACGUGAAAUUGCUGAAAGGGAAACGCUUGAAGUCAGUCGCGUUGGCCGGGGAUCAACCUUGCUUUUGCUGGGCGUACUUUCCGGUCGACGGGUCAGCAUCAAUUUUGACCGUUGGAUAAAGGCUGAGGGAAUGUGGCUCCUUCGGGAGUGUUAUAGCCCUUGGUCGCAUACAACGAUUGGGAUUGAGGAACUCAGCACGCCGCAAGGCCGGGUACUUGUACCACGUUCGUGCUUAGGAUGCUGGCAUAAUGGCUUUAAUCGACCCGUCUUGAAACACGGACCAAGGAGUCUAACAUGCCUGCGAGUGUUUGGGUGGAAAACCCGAGCGCGUAAUGAAAGUGAAAGUUGAGAUCCCUGUCGCGGGGAGCAUCGACGCCCGGACCAGACCUUUUGUGACGGAUCCGCGGUAGAGCAUGUAUGUUGGGACCCGAAAGAUGGUGAACUAUGCCUGAAUAGGGUGAAGCCAGAGGAAACUCUGGUGGAGGCUCGUAGCGAUUCUGACGUGCAAAUCGAUCGUCAAAUUUGGGUAUAGGGGGCGAAAGACUAAUCGAAC